rnacentral:misc_RNA from 1 species
CUGGCGAUGCGGGAUGAACCGA